UACAGAGGUCUCAAGCGUUGUUCGGAAUUACUGGGCGUAAAGGGUGCGCAGGCCGCGCGGGCAGUCAAAUGUGUAAUUCAGGGGCUCAACCCCUGCACUGCGCUUGAUACUUCCGCGCUCGAGCUUUGGAGAGGAGUCUGGAAUUCUCGGUGUAGCAGUGAAAUGCGUGGAUAUCGAGAAGAACACUUAGGGCGAAGGCAAGACUCUGGACAAAUGCUGACGCUCAGGCACGAAAGCGUGGGGAGCAAAAGGG
rnacentral:rRNA from 1 species